rnacentral:rRNA from 1 species
CAGUCGCCACGGUAAUACGUAGGUGGCAAGCGUUGUCCGGAAUUAUUGGGCGUAAAGGGCUCGCAGGCGGUUUCUUAAGUCUGAUGUGAAAGCCCCCGGCUCAACCGGGGAGGGUCAUUGGAAACUGGGAAACUUGAGUGCAGAAGAGGAGAGUGGAAUUCCACGUGUAGCGGUGAAAUGCGUGGAGAUGUGGAGGAACACCAGUGGCGAAGGCGACUCUCUGGUCUGUAGCUGACGCUGAGGAGCGAAAGCGUGGGGAGCGAACAGGAUUAGAUACCCGGGUAGUCCCUGUCUCUUAUAC